rnacentral:rRNA from 1 species
CUACGGGUUGCAGCAGUGAGGAAUAUUGCACAAUGGGGGGAACCCUGAUGCAGCAACGCCGCGUGGAGGAUGACGCAUUUCGGUGUGUAAACUCCUUUUAUAUGUCAAGAAAAUGACGGUAGCAUAUGAAUAAGCACCGGCUGAACUCCGUGCCAGCAGCUGCGGUAAUACGGAGGGUGCAAGCGUUACUCGGAAUCACUGGGCGUAAAGGACGCGUAGGCGGGUUGGAAAGUCAGGUGUGAAAUCCUACAGCUUAACUGUAGAACUGCACUUGAAACUUCUAAUCUAGAGUAUGGGAGGGGGAGAUGGAAUUAGUGGUGUAGGGGUAAAAUCCGUAGAUAUCACUAGGAAUACCUAAAGCGAAGGCGAUCUCCUGGAACAUUACUGACGCUAAGGCGUGAAAGCGUGGGGAGCAAACAGGAUUAGAUACCCCUGUAGUC